GACGAACGCUGGCGGCGUGCUUAACACAUGCAAGUCGAACGAAGUGGCGAACGGGUGAGUAAUACGUGAGUAACCUGCCCUCCUUUUUGGGAUAAGCCUUGGAAACGGGGUCUAAUACCGAAUAAAGGGGGAUGGGCUCGCGGCCUAUCAGCUUGUUGGUGGGGUGAUGGCCUACCAAGGCGGUGACGGGUAGCCGGCCUGAGAGGGUGACCGGCCACAUUGGGCCUGGCAUACGGCCCAGACUCCUACGGGAGGCAGCAGUGGGGGAGAUUGCACAAUGGGCGAAAGCCGGAUGCAGCGUCGCCGCGUGGGGGAUGUAGGCUUUCGGGUUGUAAACCUCUUGCGGUAUCGAACGGGUAGUUGGCGUAGAAGCGCCGGCGAACUACGUGCCAGCAGCCGCGGUAAUUC
rnacentral:rRNA from 1 species